rnacentral:sRNA from 1 species
UACUGAAAAAUAAAAGUGAAUAUGCACAAAAUAGCCAAAUUUUUAAAGACAAUGAACAAACUUAGGGCCUGACUGGUUUAAACGCAGUGGGUGCGGUUGCGGUUGCGGGAGUUUGCGGAAACGGACGGUUGCGGUUUUAAGCGUUAUCAAGCGUUUUGAACGACUGGUUGAGCGUUUGAUAAUGAGUGCGUUUGCGGGAGUUUUAUGACUGGUAAACCAGCAGGUGCGAUAGUAAUUAAAUAAAAAACCAAAAUAAAUAUAAUAUAUUACUAUUAAAAGAAAGAAAAAUACAAUAUAUUAUUAUGAUAAAUUGAUAAUAUUAGAAAAAUUAAACAUGCUUAAUAAUUAAAACCAUAAAUAAAAU